rnacentral:lncRNA from 1 species
AGGGAUGAAGGAAGGAAGGAAGGAAGGAAGGAAGGAAGGAAGGAAGGAAGGAAGGAAGGAAGGAAAGACUAUUUCCUAUUUAUCUUCAAUCUAGCACAUUUGCACAUUACUGCUUGUCUCCCCAUUAGACUGGGAGCUCCUUGAGAGCAGACGUUGUCUUUUGCCUUUUUUUGUACCCCCCUGCACUUAACACAAUGCCGAGCACAUCAUAGACACUGAAUGAAUGCGUAUUGACUAACUGAUUGGCUGAAUCCCCAAACUAUACAAAGCAGCACCUCUUCACACCUAUCACAUUAAUACAUUCCUUGUAGACCCCUCUGUAUAGUCUAACUUUAUUCUCAAUAGAUGUGUUCUAUCCUGAGGUUGGUAGAGAGUUUCUGGGGUUUGAAGGGAGGUAUCUGCGGGUGAAGAAUGGGUGCAAGGAGCAUAAGAGGGAGCAGCAGGAGCCAGAGAGAGCCAGGGAUGGGGUGAGUGGUUGAAGCUGUGGCCCCUGUUCUCCCUAUGCCCAGCCAGAUCUCCGUCCUCCUCCCUGAUCAGGGACAAGGAUGCUCCUUUCCUUGUGAAGGAUGUUUCUAUGACUGACCUUCUUCUACUUGAGGAAGGGGAGAGGAGUCCCAAAGACCGAUAUGGAAUGUCUUUUCCUGUGCCAGGACGGAGUGUGCAGGGCAGAUUCUCUUGAGUUGGCAUCAUGUGUUUCAGGUGAGGAAGAGACUAUUGCAAUGGAUGCCCAGGUGGCAAGUGUGUUGAGGAAUAUCAUUGGCAUGUGGACAGUAACAUGGUUAUACUCUACAACUUGGUUACUCACCUGGAGAGAACGUCUUCAGAAAAAGAACUUUUGGUGGCACUUGUAUGGGAUCCUGACAGUGACUUUUUCAUUGGAAAUGGGUGUUUCUAUUUGUAAUUUGUGGACCCGGCACAGUUGCCCAGGUAAUGUUGACCUGGAGCCGAGAUGAGGGGGGGAGGGUAAUUGGACAAUAUUAAAGGGCAGUCCUCAUAAAAUACUCAUUGGGUGUUAACUCCAAGUCCUCAUUCUGUUCUUACUCCAAUC